rnacentral:rRNA from 1 species
GACGAACGCUGGUGGCGUGCCUAAUACAUGCAAGUCGAGCGGACCAAUAGAAGCUUGCUUCUGUUGGUUAGCGGCGGACGGGUGAGUAACACGUGGGCAACCUGCCUGUAAGACUGGGAUAACUUCGGGAAACCGGAGCUAAUACCGGAUAAUUCAUCCCCUCGCAUGAGGGGAUGCUGAAAGUCGGUUUACGCUGACACUUACAGAUGGGCCCGCGGCGCAUUAGCUAGUUGGUGAGGUAAUGGCUCACCAAGGCGACGAUGCGUAGCCGACCUGAGAGGGUGAUCGGCCACACUGGGACUGAGACACGGCCCAGACUCCUACGGGAGGCAGCAGUAGGGAAUCUUCCACAAUGGACGAAAGUCUGAUGGAGCAACGCCGCGUGAGCGAUGAAGGCCUUCGGGUCGUAAAGCUCUGUUGUUAGGGAAGAACAAGUAUCGGAGUAACUGCCGGUACCUUGACGGUACCUAACCAGGAAGCCACGGCUAACUACGUGCCAGCAGCCGCCGCGG